UAACGAAUCUUCCGCAAUGCACGAAAGUGUGACGGAGCGACGCCGCGUGUAGGAUGAAGUCCUUCGGGAUGUAAACUACUGUCAGGGGAAAGAAAGUUCUGAUCUACCCCAGAGGAAGAGGCGGCUAACUCUGUGCCAGCAGCCGCGGUAAUACAGAGGCCUCGAGCGUUAGGCGGAAUCACUGGGCUUAAAGCGUGUGUAGGUGGAUGCCUAAGUACCUUGUGAAAUCCCACGGCUUAACCGUGGAAUUGCUUGGUAUACUGGGUGUCUUGAGCCACUCAGGGGCUACCGGAACAAACGGUGGAGCGGUGAAAUGCGUAGAUAUCGUUUGGAACGCCAAUGGUGAAAACAGGUAGCUGGGGGUGUGCUGACACUGAGACACGAAAGCCAGGGGAGCAAACGGGAUUAGAUACCCCCGUAGUCC
rnacentral:rRNA from 1 species